ensembl:lncRNA
AGGUGGAUUUGGAAAGCGGGGACGAAUUUUUUAAUUGGACUAAACCCAACGCCCUGAGUUCAAGGGGAGAGAAAACAACAACCGAAGGGGGCACUGGUGGGAUGUGGACUUUCGGAAAACUUUCCGAGUCCCCCGGGCCGAGGUGUUUCCAAGGGCAGGAAGUCGCCCCGGAUGGCAUGGCGGGGGCGGGGGGGGGGCAGCAGGAACCCCUCAUUUCGAGGCAUGAGAGCUUUAAAACUCCCCAAAGGAGAGUGCCGAGUGCUCUUACUAGUAGAAGGUGCCCUGGAGAGGUUUGUCAGCAGGAGCCUAGGCUCAGGGUCACUCCAUGAAUAUUUUUAUUCUUUCUUUCUCUUGAGAUACUACGGCCUGUAAUUUAAGUGCCUCAAGACUGCUGUAUACAAUCUAAGACGCUCAUAUCUUUCUGUACAUUGACAAAUGGAACAUGCAGUACAAAAUUAAUGGAGGAGGAAGGUCUUGGCCCUCACCCUGGAUGGGCAGCAGCCCCCAGUGGCACAGCAAGCCGCUUCCCCUCUGCCUGUGGUGUGCGCAGUGUUUGUAAACACUCACCUCCUGACGUGUUUCCACAUGGGAAACCAGGAGAAGACCUGCACGCCGACCAUGGUGGAGCUUGGUCGACUUGGGCUAAACGAGAGCAAGAAAGGGCCCCUGGGGUGAAGCGUGCCUUCCAUCAAAUCUUUGCUCCUCGGGUAAAGCAGGCGGUGCCCAGGUGGGCAUUUGUCCUUCCCUGGCAUGCAAACAGCAGCGGUGCGUGCCUUAUGAAUAAACCGGCUAUUAGGCUGAUGCUUCAAGUAACAUUAUCCAGCACCAAGCUUGGUUAUUCGGCUUAUAGCUGAAGCAGGUGGAGAUCCCUUACGAUAAGGUUGUGAAGCUGAUUCUAGUAUGACACCACCGGGUUUGUUUAUGUUUGUAAACGGAGCUCCUCCAUUUUUAAAGGUAGAGAAGGGGCUUGUGCAUUAAAUUUUAUUUUUUUUUCUGAUCUAUUUGUCUUAUUAUGCAUGCUUUUUAAUGGUAUUAAAUAAAGGAAAUUACCUAUUUCUGGUGGAAGUUAUA